GACGCUGGCGGCGUGCCUAAUACAUGCACGUCGAGCGAACGGACGAGAAGCUUGCUUCUCUGAUGUUAGCGGCGGACGGGUGAGUAACACGUGGAUAACCUACCUAUAAGACUGGGAUAACUUCGGGAAACCGGAGCUAAUACCGGAUAAUAUUUUGAACCGCAUGGUUCAAAAGUGAAAGACGGUCUUGCUGUCACUUAUAGAUGGAUCCGCNCUGCAUUAGCUAGUUGGUAAGGUAACGGCUUACCAAGGCAACGAUGCAUAGCCGACCUGAAAGGGUGAUCGGUCCACACUGGAACUGAGACACGGUCCAGACUCCUACGGGAGGCAGCAGUAGGGAAUCUUCCGCAAUGGGCGAAAGCCUGACGGAGCAACGCCGCGUGAGUGAUGAAGGUCUUCGGAUCGUAAAACUCUGUUAUUAGGGAAGAACAUAUGUGUAAGUAACUGUGCACAUCUUGACGGUACCUAAUCAGAAAGCCACGGCUAACUACGUGCCAGCAGCCGCGGUAAUACGUAGGUGGCAAGCGUUAUCCGGAAUUAUUGGGCGUAAAGCGCGCGUAGGCGGUUUUUUAAGUCUGAUGUGAAAGCCCACGGCUCAACCGUGGAGGGUCAUUGGAAACUGGAAAACUUGAGUGCAGAAGAGGAAAGUGGAAUUCCAUGUGUAGCGGUGAAAUGCGCAGAGAUAUGGAGGAACACCAGGGCGAAGGCGACUUUCUGGUCUGUAACUGACGCUGAUGUGCGAAAGCGUGGNUCAACA
rnacentral:rRNA from 1 species